UAAAAUAAUAGCAACAAUAGUGAUAAUAAUAAUAAUAAAACUUCAAGAAGAGCAGGGAUGUUGGAGUGUACAGUACAGAUGACACAGAGGAGAAGGAACAGUCUUGGAGAAAGAAGCUGGUGACAAGUAGAGAAGCCUCGGGCUGGGGAAGCCAUGAGCUCCAGGAAGAAGGAUGGGGACAUACCAAGUACAAGGACAAACCAGACAGGAAUGAGCUACGAACAUGAAACCUGCCUGAGGCAGCAGCUGGGAGCUGGACCUGAUGGGACUCCAUCUUCAUAGCCUCCUCUGAGGGCCUGUGCAAAGGCUCCUGAAGCAGAUGGGGAGGGGGAGGGGCACCAGGGGUGCGGGGUCAUUGGAGCUCACCCCCAAGCACCUCAUCAGCAGCCUGGGAGGCAGAUGCCAUGUGGGUCACAUUACAGCAGGCCAAUUAGGAUAUAUGAGGUCAUUAGGCGGCGCUUUGACCCAGGCCAGGUAGGAGACCCGGUGACUCUACCAGGGACGGGAUCUGGGCAGUGUUGAUGAUGAAGACAAUGAUGAUGAUGACGACAAAGUCAUCAAUGUUUAAUUCUAAUCAACAAAACUCACUGUGAGCUAGGAAUGUGUCAAUCACUGCUCGAAGCACCCGGCACAUGGUAACUCAUUUAACACAUCCACCAAAUGGAGGGAAUGAACUCCGGAUAGUUAGCACCUGUGGUGAAUGCUAAAUGAGAUGCUCUAUGUGAAACUGGCUUGAGCGAUGGAGAUAAAGAUGACAAUGAUAAGAAUGGUGGUGAUGGUGGUGCUGGUGAUGGUGGCCGCAGCAGUGGUGGAGGCGGUGGAGGUGAGGAUGAUGGAGAUGGUAGCGGUACCAGCGGCAAUGGUAACAGGUGAUAUAACGCUGUGGGUAAAGAAGAGAUUCGGAGUUAAACAGAGACCUAAGUUCAAGUUCCAGCUCUGCCAUUUACUCAUUGGAUUAUCUUAGGCAAGCUUCUCUGAGCCUCAGUUUCCUCAUCUGUGAAAUGGGAACUACACACACACACACACACAGUACUGUUAAGAAGAGAAGAAUGCACAUCUGAUACUUGAUACACAGCAGCUACCACAGAGAAGGGCAGUGGUGGCAACAACGGGAGUGACGAUGGCAGAGGUUCCCCACACAGGGAGUCAGCUCCUGACCACACCCCACAAACUCUCCCAGCAGAUACCACCUUAGGAGCCUUCACUUGGAGAGGGUAUUUUGAAUUGGCUACACCUGGUCCCAAGUACACACACACACACACACACACACACACACACGCACACACACCUUCCACACUCACCGCGUUGCAAGCACUACUCUCUUAACCAUUAACCAAGCUGGCUCUAGCUAAGCUGGGAAACAGACAAAGGUUAUUUGUGGAGUUAUUGCAUCACCUUCUCACCCCUGGCCCUGGUACCAUGUGGCUGUAAGCUGACCCCUACUCUGCUAGGAUCAUAGUCACCCUACCUCAUCUCCUUCCCCUUCCCAGCCUCCUUGCUUUUACCCUUCCCUGUCCAGCCAACAUUCGCCACUUAGGGUUUUGUGACCUCAUGCUUAAUAAUAAUAAUAACAACAACCACAACAACAUACGUGUACUGUGUGCCUACUAUGAUCCAUGCUUCAUGGACUGGUUUAUUUAAUCCUCACAACCACCCUGUGAGUUGGGUGAAAUUCUUAGCCCCACUUUACAGGUGAGGAUUCUGAGGCUCAGAAAGGUUAAAGUAACGUUUCCUGGGUCACACAGCUUAUAAUUGCAGAGCUGGCACCAGGGGCAUGUUUGAUCUUGGAGCCAAGGCUGUUUGUACCACAUGAUGCUGUCUGCCUUUCAAAGACUUAGCCCACAAGAGUGGGAGUAUUGAAGAGCAAGAACGGAGGGUAAAUGUUGAAGAAAGAAAGCAUUUGGCUGGUUCCCAAGUCCCCUAGAAAGGGAGCUUUCCACCACCAGCUUCCCUCCAGACUCUGACCUGGCAUUACCAUGGGCCAACUGUCAUGGUCACUAUGAAUCAUAAAAAUGAUGCGUCAUGCUUUCUAAAGCAUGCUUUCUGAAAACCCAGACUUGUUUUGUUUAAUUGCAGCAUACCCUUUAGCCCAGCAGUUCCACUUCUAAAAUGUUCUCCUUCAGAUAUAUUUGCACAUGUGCGAACAGACGUAUUUACAAAGUUACUCAGCAUUUGUAAUGGCAAAAAUUUGGAAGCAACCCAAAUGUCUAUCAGUGGGGAAUGGUUAAAUAAAUUAUGGAACAUGCAGAUGAUCAAAUACUCUCCAGCCAUUAAAAAAAAAAAUGUUUAAGCUCUAUUUGCAAGGAUACAGAAGCGAUACAUAGGAAUGUGAACAUAUGGGUCUCUACGAACAGCAAGUGUGUUAUGCCGUCGCCACUUAUGUCAAAUAUGGUGAGGGUGAGGAAUAAGCACAGGUGAUUUCUCACAUAUGCAUGGAUGGCAUCUAGCAGGAUAUAGAAACAACAGAAGCCAUUCAUUGCCCUCAGAAAGGACCUAGGCGGCUGGGAGACAGAAGUGCAACAGGGACUUUUUGCUCUCUCUUAUUAUGUUUCUUCUGAAUGUGGGCACCUAUGUGAAAUAAAUCUAUAUAAAUGUGUCUAUGUAGGAGUUCCCAACAUGGUUCAGUGGAAACGAAACUUACUAGCAUCCAUGAGGACAUAAGGUCGAUUCCUGGCCUUGCUCUGCUGGAAGCUAUGGUGUAGGUCGCAGAUGCAGCUUGGAUCUGGUGUUGCUGUGGUUGUGGCGUAGGCCAGUAGCUGCAGGUCUGAUUCAACCUCUAGCCUAGGAACCUCCAUAUGCCAUGGGUGCAGCCCUAAAAAGACCAAAAAAAAAAAAAAAGUGUCCAUGUAAAUCUACCUAUAUAAAUAUAUAAAUAAAUCUCUCUAAAUAGUCACACACAUAUGAAUAAUCCUAUGGGAAUGUUCGUGGUCCAUUAAAAAAAAAGUCUCUGACAUGACCUCAGAGACUUUGAACUUGAUUAUUGUUCCUGACACCUUGGGACAGCUAACUUGAUGUUUCUGAAUCCAGGUUUCCUCGGUUAUAAGGAGGGUGGUGGAGGGAGUGAUAACUACUUCCCAGGAAUGUUGGGAGGAUUAAGACUCAAAAUGUAUGUAUUAUUCAUUCUCCAGAUAUGUGUCAAGCAGUUACUCUGGGCCAGGCCCUGGGUCUGGGCGCAAAAGUAUGUAUUAACAAGGUGUGUCCAGGAACCGUGCUCACCCAUCAUGCACCACGGCAUUACGGCUGGUGGGGAGAUGGGCAUGAAAUCAACACAGACUGCGCAGUGGCCUGUUGUCAUAAACACUGCAGCAGGGGACAGGUGGCUCUGCGAGAGAGAGAGAGAGAGAUUGGGAGAGGGACUGUCAUGGGAGCUAUAGCAGGCCUUUCUUAGACAGUGACACAAGCUCAGACCCACGGGCUUUGCUUGGCUAAGAGAGGAGGGAGGAACAUUACAGGUGAGAACCGUGAGCCAAAAAUAAACCUGGAGAGUUCAAGGACCCAAAAGGCAAUCAAUCUGGCUAGAGAGCAGAAAGCUUGGGGGAGAGCUGGAGGCAUAAGGGGAUGAAAACCUCCGGAGCUUCCAGGGACUGUGGGAAGGAUGGUGGGGGUACCUUCCGGGGGCAGCGGGAAGCAAUUGGCGGUUCAUCCGAAGCAGAGGCAGUGCAGCUGGCAGAUAAAAGAGCAGGCUCUGGUGACCUGCUACGAAUCCUGGCUCUUCCACUUCCUGGCGGGGUGCCCUGGGGCAGCCCUAUGCUUCUCAAUAAGGAGGCAAAUAGUGCCCGUGGUACCGUGUGUGAGGUUUAAGUGCAUUCCAGGAGGAGCUCUCAGCUCGGUGACUGGUGCUGCUCACGCACUCAGCAGAUGGUUUUGCAGCAGCAGCAGCCAUCAGGAUAGUUAUAGUGCAUUUCUGAAAAAUCAUUCUAGAGCCAGGGUGGGCCGACGAUGGCCCCUGGACCAAAUCCCAGCCUACCUCCUACUUUUGUGCUGUCCACAAGCUACAAAUGGUUUUAACAUUUACGGUUUUUUAAAAAUAAUAAUAAUAAUUCAUGACACAUGAAAAUUUUAUGAAAUCUACAUUUUAGCAGCCAUAAAUAAAGUUUUAUUGAGACACAGCCAACCCCAUUCAUUUACAUAUCAUCUAUGGCAGUUGGCACGCACCAAUAGCAUAAUUCAGCAGCUGAAACAGAGACCUAGGGCCUGCAAAGCCUAAACUAUUUACUAGCUGGCCCUUUGCAUGCCAAUUCCUGCUCUAGAAAUUGGAUUAAAGAGGCUCGAAGAUACAAGGAGGAAGACCAAUUAGGAAGCUCUUGUAGAAUCUGAGCAAGAGAUAAAAGUAAGAGAGGAAAGAGCUGGAAGAGAGGUUCUGCAGAAGUGUCUUUGAAAACUGGGGAGUUCCUGUUGCGCUCGGUGGAAAUGAAUCUAUUAUCCAUGAGGACACAGGUUUGAUCCCUGGCCUUGCUCAGCGGGUUAAGGAUCCAGCGUUCCUGUGAGCUAUGGUGUAGGUCGCAGAUGCAGCUCGGAUCUAGUGUUGCUGUGACUGUGGCAUAGGCCAGCGGCUGCAGCUCCGAUUUGACCCCUAGCCUGGAAACCUCUAUAUGCCAUGUGUGUGGCCCUAAAAAGACAAAAAAAAAAAAAAAAAAAA
rnacentral:lncRNA from 9 species